AACCUCAUGAAAACAGACUGGGGGCUUGACUACACUUGACAGUUACAGCAUUGGUGGUGGCUUUACAGUGUUGUAACUUACUCCCCGUCCACAUUGGCAAGGCACAUACAGCACUGUAUCUCCCUGGCUACAGCGCUGGCUGUUUCCACCUUGACCUGGGGAAUAACAACUAUAGUGCUGCUUUUGCAGCGCUGGGGUGCCAGUGUAAACAGUGAUUAAUCUUAUUAUAAUGUAACUGACCUCCGGAACCUUCCCAUAAUGCUUUUUAAGAAAAGAUAACACUCUGUUUUGUUGUGAGCUCAGAGCUCCCGGAGCUGCUAAUCUAAAAAACGAG